UGCAGUCGAACGGUAGCACAGAGAGCUUGCUCUCGGGUGACGAGUGGCGGACGGGUGAGUAAUGUCUGGGAAACUGCCUGAUGGAGGGGGAUAACUACUGGAAACGGUAGCUAAUACCGCAUAACGUCGCAAGACCAAAGAGGGGGACCUUCGGGCCUCUUGCCAUCAGAGUGUGUGCCAGAUGGGAUUAGCUAGUAGGUGGGGUAACGGUUCACCUAGGCGACGAUCCCUAGCUGGUCUGAGCGGAUGACCAGCCACACUGGAACUGCGACACGGUCCAGACUCCUACGGGAGGCAGCAGUGGGGAAUAUUGCACAAUGGGCGCAAGCCUGAUGCAGCCAUGCCGCGUGUAUGCAGAAGGCCUUCGGGUUGUAAAGUACUUUCAGCGGGGAGGAAUGUGAUGAGGUUCCUAACCUUGUCGAUUGACGUUACCCGCAGAAGAAGCACCUGCUUACUCCGUGCCAGCAGCCGCGGUAAUACGGAGGGUGCCAGCGUUGAUCGGAAUUACUGGGCGUAAAGCGCACGCCGGCGGUCUGUCAAGUUGGAUGUGAAAUCCCCGGGCUCAACCUGGGACCUGCCUUCGAGACUGGCAGGCUUGAGUCUUGUAGAGGGGGGGUAGAAUUUCAGGUGUAGCGGUGAUAUGCGUAGAGAUCUGGAGGAAUACCGGUGGGGUAGGCGGCCCCUUGGUGCCACAGCCUGUCGCUCAGGUGCGCGACAGUCUUGUGGAGCAAACAGGAGUUAGCCACCUCCCCUGGUAGUCCUCGCCGUAUUACUAUGUCGACUAUUGGAGGUUGUGCGCCUGUAGGUGUCCGGCUUCCGGAGACUACAGGCUGCCGUUCAGUACGGACGGUUUCUACGGGGAGUACGAGCCGCAAGGUUAUUACUCUACUGAAUUGACGGGGGCCCGCACAAGCCCGCGUUGAGCAUGUCCGGUCAUUUAAUUCAGAUGCAACGCGACGACCACUUACCUCACUACUUGACAUGCAGUGAACUUAGCAGAUGAUGCUGUCUGGUCGCGCUUCAAGGGAACUCCUGAGGCAGGUGCUGCACUAGGCUGUCGUCAGCUCGUGUUGGAAUGAAUAUGUUGGGUUAAGUCCCGCAACGAGCGCUAGCCCUUAUCCUUUGUUGCCAGCGGUUCGGCCGUGGAACUCAGAUGCGAUGACUGCCAGUGAUCACCUGGAGGAAGUUGGGGAUGACUUGUCAAGUGGCCUACAUGGACCCUUACGAGUAGGGCUACACACGUGCUACAAUGGCGCAUACAAAGAGAAGCGACCUCGCGAGAGCAAGCGGACCUCAUAAAGUGCGUCGUAGUCCGGAUUGGAGUCUGCAACUCGACUCCAUGAAGUCGGAAUCGCUAGUAAUCGUGGAUCAGAAUGCCACGGUGAAU
rnacentral:rRNA from 1 species